rnacentral:rRNA from 1 species
UCCUUNUGGGAAAGAUUCAUCGGUAUGGGAUGGGGUCGCGUCCUAUCAGCUNGAUGGCGGGGUAACGGCCCACCANGNCUUCGACGGGUAGCCGGCCUGAGAGGGCGACCGGCCACAUUGGGACUGAGAUACGGCCCAGACUCCUACGGGAGGCAGCAGUGGGGAAUAUUGCACAAUGGGCGCAAGCCUGAUGCAGCGACGCCGCGUGCGGGAUGACGGCCUUCGGGUUGUAAACCGCUUUUGACUGGGAGCAAGCCCUUCGGGGUGAGUGUACCUUUCGAAUAAGCACCGGCUAACUACGUGCCAGCAGCCGCGGUAAUACGUAGGGUGCAAGCGUUAUCCGGAAUUAUUGGGCGUAAAGGGCUCGUAGGCGGUUCGUCGCGUCCGGUGUGAAAGUCCAUCGC